ACAUAAAUGCUUUUGCUGCAACAUACCACUCCUGCUGCAGCUUAUAUAAUAACAUGCCUCAUGAAAGAGGGGAAGGGUCUUGACAGGAGGCUGCUGUCUCGGAGUUAUUUCCAAGGCUCCGCCCCCGUGCCCGUCCGAAGCCCCGCCUCCUUGCAACACGAAGAGUUCAAGAAGACACAGGCUAACCAGUUUAGGGUGAGGGUGAAUGAGCAGCCGGAGCGAGCGGAUAUGUGAAGAUCCUCUGCCAGGGACUGCUGAAAACUCACCCCUGCUUGUGCUAGAACAGACGCUUUCCCCCCCAUCAACAACCCGGGAGAAUGCAAAUAUUAUUAGGGGAUGGGGCAGACAUGGCCCUAACUAGGACUGUGCCCAAAGCCAUUGGAUGCACCAGGCCCCCCCAAUGCUGUAUGGGCAGUCCGGGUGUGACAUCCCCACCCCAUUUGCUUGAGAUCAUGACAUUAAGCGCAUAGGGGGCGGGGCUGGCACAGGGCAUUCCGGAGCCCUGUUACCGCGCUGGGUACAGAUGACAGGGUUCAGUUCUACCAAGCUGCACAUUGUUCUGCUAUACGGAGGGAGGGUGUAAUUCUUGUUUUGUUCAAAUAAUCCCUUAAAAUAAUAUAUGGAAUUAAAAAAAAAAGUGCCCAGAAUAUGUCUCCAAUAUUAAAAGCCAUGGUUGCUUUAUAUAAUCAUCUGGUACACACUGUUGUUAGUGAUUUCGAUGUAAAACACUAUUCUGCUCCAAAAUAAGUAAUAAAUAAUUUAUUAUGACAAA